GGAGAAACUUGUGCAUGCACAUUGCUGUUUAUGGAAUAAUAGCUGAUUUUCUUUGUUUUGUAUACAGGGCUGGGUGAGGAUCCCUGUUCUCACAAUUCACAUAGUCAGCCAUAUGUUCCUAAGAAACAGUGUUCACCCAAGAAAUCACUUUCAAACAGUCAUAUGCAAACUUGUGUUGAGAUGGUAUCACAUUCAUGUACCAUGUAUUUAACAUGUUUGCUAUUACCCCAGAAACUGCACAGGUCUGUGUGCAUCCAGAAUUGUGCGUGGAAUCUGAACCAAUAAGAAGAGCGAUCUCAUUUCCACCAAUGGAACAAAUUCUGAGGAAAUCUUGGAGAUCUUCAGAGGUGCUGAUUCAAUUCUCCUCCCAAUUAAAUGUGUGCUGCCACAGAAACAACCAUACAGAAAAUGGAUUGCAGAAAAUAAUAUAAUUGAUCCUAGGCCCUAAAUACCAUUAAAAAAGAGAAAAGAAAACAUCCUGCAGUAAAUAGGUGUGAACAUAUAUCUAGCUCUUUGGGCCUAUAUCCAGUAUAUCUACAUGAAAUCUUCCCUAUCUG
rnacentral:lncRNA from 1 species